GACGAACGCUGGCGGCGUGCUUAACACAUGCAAGUCGAACGAAGUGGCGAACGGGUGAGUAACGCGUAAUCAACCUGCCCUUCAGAGGGGGACAACAGUUGGAACCGACUGCUAAUACCGCAUACUGAAGGAGGGGAUUGCGUCUGAUUAGCUAGUUGGGUGGGCAACGGCCCACCAAGGCGAUGAUCAGUAGCCGGGCUGGGAGGAAGAACGGCCACAAUGGGACUGAGACACGGCCCAGACUCCUACGGGAGGCAGCAGUGGGGAAUCUUCCGCAAUGGACGAAAGUCUGGCGGAGAAACGGCGCGGGGGUGAUGACGGCCUUCGGGUUGUAAAGCUCUUUUAAUCGGGACGCGGUACCGGAAUAGGAAGCCACGGCUAACUACGUGCCAGCAGCCGCGGUAAUAC
rnacentral:rRNA from 1 species